AAAAUGAUAAACAAUGAAUGGUAGAGCUUUAGUCAUGUAAUUAUCCUUUAUUAUUCUAUAAAACUAAAAGUAAAUUUUUUUAUCAAAGAUCCCUUUUAAAAUCAACAUUUGUCUAAGCAUGUCCGACUUUAAGCUGAUGCACUGUUCAAUUAAUAUAAAAGAAACAAGAGAAACUGCAAUCUACUGCUCACUGAUGAUACCCCCCGCCGCAAGUGGAUAAUAUUAAUAGUGUAAAAAUUUGCAAGUGUUCGGUAAACAGGAAGUAAUCGAGUGAUGACUCUGAAAACGCAUCA
rnacentral:lncRNA from 1 species